UACAGAGGGUGCAAGCGUUAAUCGGAAUUACUGGGCGUAAAGGGCUCGUAGGCGGUUCGUCGCGUCGGGAGUGAAAACUCGGAGCUCAACUCCGAGCCUGCUUCCGAUACGGGCAGACUAGAGGUAGGCAGGGGAGAGCGGAACUCCUGGUGUAGCGGUGGAAUGCGCAGAUAUCAGGAAGAACACCGGUGGCGAAGGCGGCGUCCUGGACCAACACUGACACUGAGGAGCGAAAGCCAGGGGAGCAAACGGG
rnacentral:rRNA from 1 species